GGUUAAGCGACUAAGCGUACACGGUGGAUGCCCUGGCAGUCAGAGGCGAUGAAGGGCGUACUAAUCUGCGAUAAGCGCCGGUAAGGUGAUAUGAACCGUUAUAACCGGCGAUACCCGAAUGGGGAAACCCAGUGUGAUUCGUCACACUAUCAUUAACUGAAUCCAUAGGUUAAUGAGGCGAACCGGGGGAACUGAAACAUCUAAGUACCCCGAGGAAAAGAAAUCAACCGAGAUUCCCCCAGUAGCGGCGAGCGAACGGGGAGGAGCCCAGAGCCUGAAUCAGCAUGUGUGUUAGUGGAAGCGUCUGGAAAGGCGCGCGAUACAGGGUGACAGCCCCGUACACAAAAGCGCAUGUGCUGUGAGCUCGAUGAGUAGGGCGGGACACGUGGUAUCCUGUCUGAAUAUGGGGGGACCAUCCUCCAAGGCUAAAUACUCCUGACUGACCGAUAGUGAACCAGUACCGUGAGGGAAAGGCGAAAAGAACCCCGGCGAGGGGAGUGAAAAAGAACCUGAAACCGUGUACGUACAAGCAGUGGGAGCACAGGUUUACCUGUGUGACUGCGUACCUUUUGUAUAAUGGGUCAGCGACUUAUAUUCUGUAGCAAGGUUAACCGAAUAGGGGAGCCGGAGGGAAACCGAGUCUUAAUUGGGCGUUAAGUUGCAGGGUAUAGACCCGAAACCCGGUGAUCUAGCCAUGGGCAGGUUGAAGGUUGGGUAACACUAACUGGAGGACCGAACCGACUAAUGUUGAAAAAUUAGCGGAUGACCUGUGGCUGGGGGUGAAAGGCCAAUCAAACCGGGAGAUAGCUGGUUCUCCCCGAAAGCUAUUUAGGUAGCGCCUCGUGAAUUCAUCUCCGGGGGUAGAGCACUGUUUCGGCUAGGGGGCCAUCCCGGCUUACCAACCCGAUGCAAACUGCGAAUACCGGAGAAUGUUAUCACGGGAGACACACGGCGGGUGCUAACGUCCGUCGUGAAGAGGGAAACAACCCAGACCGCCAGCUAAGGUCCCAAAGUCAUGGUUAAGUGGGAAACGAUGUGGGAAGGCCCAGACAGCCAGGAUGUUGGCUUAGAAGCAGCCAUCAUUUAAAGAAAGCGUAAUAGCUCACUGGUCGAGUCGGCCUGCGCGGAAGAUGUAACGGGGCUAAACCAUGCACCGAAGCUGCGGCAGCGACGCUUAUGCGUUGUUGGGUAGGGGAGCGUUCUGUAAGCCUGCGAAGGUGGCCUGUGAGGGUUGCUGGAGGUAUCAGAAGUGCGAAUGCUGACAUAAGUAACGAUAAAGCGGGUGAAAAGCCCGCUCGCCGGAAGACCAAGGGUUCCUGUCCAACGUUAAUCGGGGCAGGGUGAGUCGACCCCUAAGGCGAGGCCGAAAGGCGUAGUCGAUGGGAAACGGGUUAAUAUUCCCGUACUUGGUGUUACUGCGAAGGGGGGACGGAGAAGGCUAUGUUGGCCGGGCGACGGUUGUCCCGGUUUAAGCGUGUAGGUGUGUGUUCCAGGUAAUCCGGUUCACUUUAACACUGAGGCGUGACGACGAGGCACUACGGUGCUGAAGCAACAAAUGCCCUGCUUCCAGGAAAAGCCUCUAAGCAUCAGGUAACAUCAAAUCGUACCCCAAACCGACACAGGUGGUCAGGUAGAGAAUACCAAGGCGCUUGAGAGAACUCGGGUGAAGGAACUAGGCAAAAUGGUGCCGUAACUUCGGGAGAAGGCACGCUGACACGUAGGUGAAGUGAUUUACUCAUGGAGCUGAAGUCAGUCGAAGAUACCAGCUGGCUGCAACUGUUUAUUAAAAACACAGCACUGUGCAAACACGAAAGUGGACGUAUACGGUGUGACGCCUGCCCGGUGCCGGAAGGUUAAUUGAUGGGGUCAGCGCAAGCGAAGCUCCUGAUCGAAGCCCCGGUAAACGGCGGCCGUAACUAUAACGGUCCUAAGGUAGCGAAAUUCCUUGUCGGGUAAGUUCCGACCUGCACGAAUGGCGUAAUGAUGGCCAGGCUGUCUCCACCCGAGACUCAGUGAAAUUGAACUCGCUGUGAAGAUGCAGUGUACCCGCGGCAAGACGGAAAGACCCCGUGAACCUUUACUAUAGCUUGACACUGAACAUUGAGCCUUGAUGUGUAGGAUAGGUGGGAGGCUUUGAAGUGUGGACGCCAGUCUGCAUGGAGCCGACCUUGAAAUACCACCCUUUAAUGUUUGAUGUUCUAACGUGGACCCGUUACCCGGGUUGCGGACAGUGUCUGGUGGGUAGUUUGACUGGGGCGGUCUCCUCCUAAAGAGUAACGGAGGAGCACGAAGGUUGGCUAAUCCUGGUCGGACAUCAGGAGGUUAGUGCAAUGGCAUAAGCCAGCUUGACUGCGAGCGUGACGGCGCGAGCAGGUGCGAAAGCAGGUCAUAGUGAUCCGGUGGUUCUGAAUGGAAGGGCCAUCGCUCAACGGAUAAAAGGUACUCCGGGGAUAACAGGCUGAUACCGCCCAAGAGUUCAUAUCGACGGCGGUGUUUGGCACCUCGAUGUCGGCUCAUCACAUCCUGGGGCUGAAGUAGGUCCCAAGGGUAUGGCUGUUCGCCAUUUAAAGUGGUACGCGAGCUGGGUUUAGAACGUCGUGAGACAGUUCGGUCCCUAUCUGCCGUGGGCGCUGGAGAACUGAGGGGGGCUGCUCCUAGUACGAGAGGACCGGAGUGGACGCAUCACUGGUGUUCGGGUUGUCAUGCCAAUGGCACUGCCCGGUAGCUAAAUGCGGAAGAGAUAAGUGCUGAAAGCAUCUAAGCACGAAACUUGCCCCGAGAUGAGUUCUCCCUGAGACUUAAAGUCUCCUGAAGGAACGUUGAAGACGACGACGUUGAUAGGCCGGGUGUGUAAGCGCAGCGAUGCGUUGAGCUAACCGGUACUAAUGAACCGUGAGGCUUAACCUU
rnacentral:rRNA from 1 species